GGCGGCGUGCUUAACACAUGCAAGUCGAACGAUGAACCUCACUUGUGGGGGGAUUAGUGGCGAACGGGUGAGUAACACGUGAGUAACCUGCCCUUAACUCUGGGAUAAGCCUGGGAAACUGGGUCUAAUACCGGAUAUGACUCCUCAUCGCAUGGUGGGGGGUGGAAAGCUUUUUGUGGUUUUGGAUGGACUCGCGGCCUAUCAGCUUGUUGGUGAGGUAAUGGCUUACCAAGGCGACGACGGGUAGCCGGCCUGAGAGGGUGACCGGCCACACUGGGACUGAGACACGGCCCAGACUCCUACGGGAGGCAGCAGUGGGGAAUAUUGCACAAUGGGCGCAAGCCUGAUGCAGCGACGCCGCGUGAGGGAUGACGGCCUUCGGGUUGUAAACCUCUUUCAGUAGGGAAGAAGCGAAAGUGACGGUACCUGCAGAAGAAGCGCCGGCUAACUACGUGCCAGCAGCCGCGGUAAUACGUAGGGCGCAAGCGUUAUCCGGAAUUAUUGGGCGUAAAGAGCUCGUAGGCGGUUUGUCGCGUCUGCCGUGAAAGUCCGGGGCUCAACUCCGGAUCUGCGGUGGGUACGGGCAGACUAGAGUGAUGUAGGGGAGACUGGAAUUCCUGGUGUAGCGGUGAAAUGCGCAGAUAUCAGGAGGAACAC
rnacentral:rRNA from 1 species